AUUGAACGCUGGCGGCAGGCCUAACACAUGCAAGUCGAACGGUAACAGGAAGAAGCUUGCUUCUUUGCUGACGAGUGGCGGACGGGUGAGUAAUGUCUGGGAAACUGCCUGAUGGAGGGGGAUAACUACUGGAAACGGUAGCUAAUACCGCAUAACGUCGCACGACCAAAACGGGGGACCUUCGGGCCUCUUGCCAUCGGAUGUGCCCAGAUGGGAUUAGCUAGUAGGUGGGGUAACGGCUCACCUAGUCGACGAUCCCUUGCUGAUCUGAGAGGAUAACCAGCCACACUGGAAGUGAGGCACGGAACAGUCUCGUGCGGGAGGCACCAGGCGGGAAUAUUGAGCAGUGGUAGCAAGCCUGAUACAAACAUGCCGAGUGUAUGACAAAGACCUUCGGGUAGUAAAGUACUAUCAGGGGGGAGGAAGGGAGUAAAGCUAUUACGUAUGCUGAUUGACGUUACCCGCAAAAGAAGCACCGGCUAACUGCGUG
rnacentral:rRNA from 1 species